UGGCUCAGUGGUAGAGUGCUUGCCUUGCAUGCAUGAGGCCCUGGGUUCGAUUCUUAG
rnacentral:tRNA from 1 species